UUUCCGUAGGUGAACCUGCGGAAGGAUCAUUACUGUGUUUGGGCCUCACGGCUCUUCAUUCCGACGCUGUGCGCCUUCGGGCUGCACGCCGGCGGCGCAUAUAUCCACCCCUGUGCACACACACGGUGGCGGGCUGGGUAACGGCUCACCGCUGAUCUUUACACACGUCUAAAAGUCAUUCUAUGUUUUUUUGAUAUAAUAACACAACUUUCAGCAACGGAUCUCUUGGCUCUC
rnacentral:misc_RNA from 1 species